UACGAAGGGGGCUAGCGUUGCUCGGAAUCACUGGGCGUAAAGCGCACGUAGGCGGGUCCUUAAGUCAGGGGUGAAAUCCCGCGGCCCAACCGUGGAACUGCCUUUGAUACUGGCGGCCUUGAGCCACUUAAGGGCAGACGGAACAAGCGGUGGAGCGGUGAAAUGCGUAGAUAUCGCUUGGAACGCCGACGGCGAAAGCAGUCUGCUGGGGGUGUGCUGACGCUGAGACACGAAAGCCAGGGGAGCGAACGGG
rnacentral:rRNA from 1 species